rnacentral:lncRNA from 1 species
GUAAAUGUCAACAUCCUGAGCUGGUUUGGGGACGGAUGACCUUUAAGUCGCUUCCUUCCCGUAUACAAAGAUUCAUUUUUAAGCCUAUCCGACACAUUGGUUAUACAGUAACAGUAUUCUAUUGCGUGUCUGGUCCUCUAUGCAUAUACCUUGCUAAUAACUGCUGACAAUUGUUAUUUUCCUGUUUUUCUCCCAGGGUGACCAAGGAGACAUUGGGCCACGGGGUGACCAGGGCCAGGCUGGACCUGCUGGUCCUCCCGGUCCCCCAGGUCCUCCUGGUCCCCGAGGGCCCCCUGGAAACACAGGCAAGGAUGGGCCCCGUGGUCCUGCUGGAGAGCCGGUAAGAGCCUCUCCUCAUGCAUCAACUCACUAUACAAAACAAUGCACCCAUACACACCCACACACUCCACUCUGCUGCUGUUAUUCUCCUCCUUCAUCACUCUGCCCCUUUCCCCUUAGCCUCUAACUAAGGUUUCACCACAAAGAAUGCAGUCACUUAAAAC